rnacentral:rRNA from 1 species
AUUGAACGCUGGCGGCAUGCCUUACACAUGCAAGUCGAACGGUAACGGGCCUUCGGGUGCCGACGAGUGGCGAACGGGUGAGUAAUACAUCGGAACGUGCCCGAUCGUGGGGGAUAACGAGGCGAAAGCUUUGCUAAUACCUCAUACGAUCUACGGAUGAAAGCAGGGGACCGCAAGGCCUUGCGCGGACGGAGCGGCCGCUGGCAGAUUAGGUAGUUGGUGGGUUAAAAGCUUACCAAGCCGACGAUCUGUAGCUGGUCUGAGAGGAUGAUCCGCCACACUGGGACUGAGGCACGGCCCAGACUCCUACGGGAGGCAGCAGUGGGGAAUUUUGGACAAUGGGCGCAAGCCUGAUCCAGCCAUGCCGCGUGCAGGAUGAAGGCCUUCGGGUUGUAAACUGCUUUUGUACGGAACGAAAAGCCUUCUUUUAAUACAGGAGGGUCAUGACGGUACCGUAAGAAUAAGCACCGGCUAACUACGUG